UGGGUUAGCUCAGUGGUUAGAGCUUAGGCCUCGUCACCGGAUGGUUCCGGGAUCGAAUCCCGCUAGAGGCAG
rnacentral:tRNA from 1 species